UGGGGAAUUUUGGACAAUGGGGGCAACCCUGAUCCAGCCAUGCCGCGUGCGGGAAGAAGGCCUUCGGGUUGUAAACCGCUUUUGGUCGGAAAGAAAGGUCCUGGGCUAAUACCCUGGGAUUUUGACGGUACCGGCAGAAUAAGCACCGGCUAACUACGUGCCAGCAGCCGCGGUAAUACGUAGGGUGCGAGCGUUAAUCGGAAUUACUGGGCGUAAAGCGUGCGCAGGCGGUUUGUUAAGUCCGCUGUGAAAUCCCCGGGCUCAACCUGGGAAUGGCGGUGGAAACUGGCGAGCUAGAGUGUGUCAGAGGGGGGUGGAAUUCCACGUGUAGCAGUGAAAUGCGUAGAGAUGUGGAGGAACACCAAUGGCGAAGGCAGCCCCCUGGGAUAACACUGACGCUCAGGCACGAAAGCGUGGGGAGCAAACAG
rnacentral:rRNA from 1 species